AACACAUCUGGUCCAAAGGCUUUGGGAUCACAGGUCAAGAAACAAAAAAAACCCUGAUGAUCAUCUGCCAGCGCUGCUCCACAAAGCAGCAACGAUGGCAGCUGUGAAGGAGCUGCUUUUGGAAACAC